rnacentral:rRNA from 1 species
GCCAGACUCCUACGGGAGGCAGCAGUGGGGAAUAUUGCACAAUGGGGGAAACCCUGAUGCAGCGACGCCGCGUGAGUGAAGGAGUAUUUCGGUAUGUAAAGCUCUAUCAGCAGGAACGAGACAAGACGGUACCUGACUAAGAAGCCCCGGCUAACUACGUGCCAGCAGCCGCGGUAAUACGUAGGGGGCAAGCGUUAUCCGGAUUUACUGGGUGUAAAGGGUGCGUAGGUGGCAUGGCAAGUCAGAAGUGAAAGCCCGGGGCUCAACCCCGCGGACUGCUUUUGAAACUGUCAGGCUGGAGUACAGGAGAGGUAAGCGGAAUUCCUAGUGUAGCGGUGAAAUGCGUAGAUAUUAGGAGGAACACCAGUGGCGAAGGCGGCUUACUGGACUGUAACUGACACUGAGGCACGAAAGCGUGGGGAGCAAACAGGAUUAGAUACCCGCGUAA